UGUGAACAUUAUAUAAUACGUAUUUAGCAAAAACAUAUGCAAAUGGAAAAGAUACAUAUUCAGCACCUUAGAAUGGCUUUAUGGAGGGGAGGAAAUGCAAUAGGAAAUGGAGACUAAAGGGAAUAAUAAAUAGAUAAAAGAGGAGACUAAGAAGGAUGGAUCACUGACAAUAUCUUUCUGAACUGAAUCAGCAGCACCUGAAUAUCCCACACUCAACCACAGAAGAAAAGAAAAUACAGAUAAAUAUUUUCAUCUUGUGGAGGUAAGAAAAGACUUUCUAAGCAUGAUGCAAAGACAAAAACUAUAAAGGAAAGGAUAUCAAAGCUAAUGAAAAAAAUAUUUUAAAAUUAUGGUAAAUAUACAUAGCAUAAGAUUUACCAUCCUAACCAUUUUUAAGUGUGCGGUUUCCUGGUGUUAAGUAAAUUCGCGUUGUUUCUCAACCAAUCUCCAGAACUCUGUACACUUUAAACAACUCAGUAUCCCCCCUCCUCCCAGCCCCUGGCAACCACCACUCUCUGUUCUGUCUCUAUGAGCUCAACUAUGUUAGGUGUCUGAAACCUGUUCCUAAGAGCCACCUACUCCUAAUACAAAGGGUCAGUAUUCAGCUGUGGAAAAUUCCUGUUAUAUGCAGAUCAGCAGGGAAAUAGGUUUAAAAAUGGGAAAACUGGAUUUAUUUGGCCUGGAGAGGCAGAAACUCAGUACAGGAUAGCAGUCUUUAAACACUCAGGGGGCUCAAGAAGCAGAGAUUCCAAAAGCAAGUGCUUUCUAGGAAGAAAAGCUACCCACCAAAGAACUGGGCUCCCUUGAGAAGUAGUGAGUUCCCCGUCCCUGGAAAUGCUUCUCCGGUAGAGGAUGUUACUCCAGUGGGCUGAACUAGAUCAAGGUCCCAUGACCCACUGGGGUUUUGUGACCUACUGAACACAUAACCCCCCUGGAAAAGCUAAGAAAAGCCCAGCGGGAAUUGUGUGUCUGAGGAGGCAGGUGUGGCACAAGCCUGGCAGUGCGUGGACAGUAAGACUGGGAUACAAGCUUCAUUUCCUUCAUGUCCUAUUUUAUUUUCCAGUUAACUAUCAGCCUCCCCCUGGACUGCCCCACGCACCGUCUCCCAGCCCCUCUCCUCCAUCUCCACCUCUUUGCCUAUUCAACCCUAACCAUUCUCUGAAGUCUCUCUUCCCGCCGUGAACCUUCUCUUCAAACUUCCUCCUGCAGGUCUCACUGUGGCAUUUAAUGGAGAUGGGGUUCAAAGUUACAGAUAGAGAUCACAGGGCUGUACACACCUGUCCGCUCACCACAGAGCAGACAGAACACUGUAAACCAGCUGUAAUGGAAAAAAAUAAAAAUCAUUACAAAAAAAAAAAAAAAAAAAAGACAUCAAAGUCAAGGGAAGGGGCGUUGGAGUCUAGCCCACAUUAGAAUUCGGAUCUUAGUGGUAAUUACCUAUCACUCACUGCCGCCUAGCUUUGGUUUCCUCAUCUGUCAGUCGGGGAAGAUGAUGCGAAGGAUAGCGCAUGUUUGGACCAAGUGCUAACUAAUUGCAUCAUGGGGGAGGUAGAGACUCUUCCUUCUCAGCACUUGACCACUCCCAGGAUUGCUGUGAGGCACUGAAGUGCUUCUGCCCCAACCUGGUGCACACUCAACGCGCUGUACACGCUGCCCUUACUGUGAUAAGGCAGGCCGGGGGAUGUGAAGUUGCAGCCUCGGUAGCCCCAACUCCACUCGUUUCUCCUACUGAUCACAGCCACCUUCUGUGAUGUGCUCAGCUGGUCCAAAUCCCAGUUUGACAUUUAUUCACAUUCAUCUUGGACUCUUCCUGGCUUGCUCACAUGUCUAUGUGUGUCCUGUCUCUGGAGGAUAAAAGUAUUGGUGAUACUUUGGGGCACCUCCUCCAGAGAGUGGAUGAGCCUCCCAAGGCCAUGGGGUUGCUGGGAACAGAGAAGGUAGUUGGACUAGAUGGAGCCCAGCUGGGCAGUUCCUCCAAGCCAGGCUUCCCAGCUGCCAAACAGAUGCCUUGGAGAGAAAUGACAGGCUGUGGGUGGGACCUCAGAUGAUGGAGAACUCUGGGGCCUCACAGCCUCCAAGCUUGCCUUGGCAACAGCUCUUUUCCCUGUUCUCUUUUGAAAGGGAAUGAUGUGACUGCUGGCACUAGGCAAUUAUCAUUUGUGAACAUUUUUUUUUCUUGUGUCAUGUCAGAGAAAGACAUACACAAACCCUGCCUGUGAACAGGAAUUAUAGGCAUAAGCCAAUCUAGUUUUAAAAAUGAUGUUGCCAUCUAAAUUCUAUUAACCCUACAAUGCAAUCUCCCUUAGACCAAAAUAGUGCAAUUUCCUUCUCUUUGCACUUUCUUUUUCUCCAAUUUAAUUUGAUUUUUGCUCUCUUUAGAGGAUACACAGUAAUCGGGUUAGGCCACCGUCAAUUCAGUACUGCCCAUAGAGCUCCUUCCUUUUCUAUUUCAGCCCAUUCUCAACUUCUUCCUUAAUCCACUUUCUGCCCUGUGAAUAUCCCGAGAAGAACUGGACAGAGAUAAAUCAUUUUGCCUCGGAAAUUUAUCAGGUUGGAAAAAAAUAAACAAUCUGCUGCCCUCUGAAACUCAGAAAAUCAUGUUAGCCUAAGGUACCAAGUCUGUUUAUUUUCCUUUAUCUAAGGGAUAGAUUUCAUUAUGAAAGCUGGGCCCGAAUGAAUGGCCAAAGAAGUCCCUCACACCAAGGCAGUGCCAGAAAUAAUAAAUGAAUGUGUUUGCUAUUGAAAUGGUCCAAUCUGGAUUUCAGAAGGGAUUAUAUUUGUUUUUUUGGAGGGGAUGAAUCAUAUAGGUUUUAAAUAAUAAUUCUGCAACUUCAGCUCUUUUUGAGGGCAUGCAAAAUUGCUUGCCAACUCCUGAAAGCCCGGAGAGUAAUUGAUUUAACAAGACUGAAGCAAUAUUGCUUUUUAUACAGCUUAAGGUGUAAACAAAUAUUUCCUCUUAACACAUUUCUAAUGUUUGGUAUAAUAACAGUCAUCAAAUUCGAUGAAAACAGACACAUCUUUUAAAAAAUCCAGUCUUCUCUCAUUCCUUCUCUUUCUAGAUCCAAGAAAAUGAAGAAGAGAAUGCAUAAAUUAAAACAGGACAAGUAAGGCUAAAUGGCUUGUUUCUUUCUUUCUUACAAAUUUAAGUUAUGUGUUGACUUGUAAAGAAGGAAAAGGGCUCUCUGCCUAUAAGAUCUAGUCAAACAUGCCUUUCUGUUCUUUAUGAAAGGAAAAUGAUAAUAUUUCCAUCCUGGCAAAGUGGCCCCACGACUGGUUAGUGCCGCUAAGGAGAGCGCUUUGGUCUGGAGUCAUUCAAAGAAGCACCUCUGGCAAUGGGAAACCUUGGUGAAACUCCACAUAAAAACUCCAACACCCGGACCUGUUCACCAGGUGCUAUAUUCUGGUCAGCUUUGCUACCUUCCUUGGGAUGGCUUCACAUACUAGGAUCCUGCCACCCUGAGACAUGAUGGAUUUGAUGUUGGGAUAACCUUCAAAGACAUCUCCCAGGUCACAAGAUUGCCAGGUUACAGACAUCCUUGGUUACAGCCCAAGCAAUGUGGCUUGGAACAUUCUCCAAGCAGGAAGGCUGUGCAUGAAUCAAUGGGCCGAGGUCUAAAGGUAGAAUCUAUGUUCCUCCAAAGAAGAAUGCAAGUCCUUUAAUCUACAGGGAAACGAAGGCACAUAUCAAGGCAAAACCCUAAUCUAUUUGUCAAACUUAAAAUUAGCUUCCUCACUGAUGAAGAGAUGAAUGUAUCUAUCUAGAUUAUCAGUAAAUAUAAACGAACAUGACUCUGUCUGUCCAUCCAUCUCUAUCUAUUAUGAUAUAAAUAUAAUUCCAGUUAACAUUUUUGCUAAUACUUAUUAUACUUCAUUUAUGUGACUUAACUUGGUACAAUAAUGCCAUGAUGUUUACUCUCCCUCUUUUAAAAAUAGUUCCUCCUGGAGUUCUCGUUGUGGCACAGCAGAAAUGACUCUGACUAAUAGCCAAGAGAAUGUGAGUUCGAUCUCUGGCCUCGCUCAGUGGGUUGGAGAUCCGGCGUUGCCAUGAGCGGUGGUGUAGGUUGCAGACGCAGCUCAGAUCCCACAUUGCUGUGGCCAUGGUGUGUAGACUGGCAGCUGUAGCUCUGAUCAGACACCUAGACUGGCAACUUCCAUAUGCUGCAGCUGAGGCCCUAAAAAGCUAUACAUUUAUAUAAAGCCAUAUAUAUGUAUAUAGCUACUCCUUAGACAAUGCAGCAGGCAAAAGUCUGUUAUCAAAUGUCAGUGACUGUAACUGAGCUGCAGAGAAAACUCUCAAAAAUGAAAAUUGACUGGGAGAGUAAACUUGUACAUAUUGGGAAGCAGAUGCAAAUACAAUUACAAUUUGUCUCAAACUUUGCUGGCAAUUCACCUUUGGAUGGAAUGUCAAGCAGGGAAAUUUUUGGCCUGAAGACACUUUUUAAAGGAACUGAUUAGUCCUGGAGCGCAGAGGAAACAGAGAGGGCUCAAAUGGGCGUGUGAACGGAAACUCCAUCUCAGUCAUGCCUCUAAUUUAAUGGGAGGAUGGCCGCGGAAUGAGCAUCACUAAAGCAGAUAAUUCUCAUCCCUAUUCCACCUUCUACCUGCCAACCUGUCAUUCUCCUAAAGUAGCAAUUUUUUUCUUCAUUUCUGUUUUUAGUUGGUAAUUAUUUCUGAGCACUGAGAUGCUGCCAUCAUGUUCCUGUAAAAACACCCUGGAAGGGAAGCCAAGGCCCAAGACCACAAAGAAUACUUGAGAAGCCUCAGCAGAAGCAGAGGCCCAGCAGAAAACCACUUCAGACAAAUCAUCACGCUGCAUACCUUAAACUUAUAUAGUGCUGUGUGUCAAUCACAUCAAUAAAACU
rnacentral:lncRNA from 1 species